UGGGGAAUAUUGCACAAUGGGGGAAACCCUGAUGCAGCAACGCCGCGUGCGGGAUGACGGCCUUCGGGUUGUAAACCGCUUUCAGCCAUGACGAAGCUUUUGUGACGGUAGUGGCAGAAGAAGCACCGGCUAACUACGUGCCAGCAGCCGCGGUGAUACGUAGGGUGCGAGCGUUGUCCGGAAUUAUUGGGCGUAAAGAGCUUGUAGGCGGUUUGUCGCGUCGAAAGUGUAAACUCAGUGCUUAACGCUGAGCCUGCUUUCGAUACGGGCUGACUAGAGGCAGGUAGGGGAGAAUGGAAUUCCCGGUGGAGCGGUGGAAUGCGCAGAUAUCGGGAGGAACACCAGUGGCGAAGGCGGUUCUCUGGACCUUUCCUGACGCUGAGAAGCGAAAGCGUGGGUAGCAAACAGG
rnacentral:rRNA from 1 species